UACGAAGGGGGCUAGCGUUGCUCGGAAUGACUGGGCGUAAAGGGCGCGUAGGCGGUUCAUACAGUCAGAUGUGAAAUUCCCGGGCUUAACCUGGGGGCUGCAUUUGAUACGUGUGGGCUUGAGUGAGGAAGAGGGUUGUGGAAUUCCCAGUGUAGAGGUGAAAUUCGUAGAUAUUGGGAAGAACACCGAUGGCGAAGGCAGCCAUCUGGACCGACACUGACGCUGAGGCGCGAAAGCGUGGGGAGCAAACAGG
rnacentral:rRNA from 1 species